rnacentral:lncRNA from 1 species
UUCAAGCUAGCUUCACAACAUGAGCGCACAUACUCAGGGUUACCCUUCACAAUCACAGCAUCAAGUCCCAAUUCUGCAAACCCAAACUUUGUGGCUACUUGUAUGUUUUCUCUGGGCAACAUCUUCAAGGCCUGAAAGGAAUGAAUUUUUUUCCAAUAAAUUCGGAAAAUUUUAACAAUGAUUUCUAUAUCCUCAAUAAUGUGCAAAAAUAAAUAUUCACCAAUUCCUUGAACAAACAUAUUAUAUUAGGAGUGUGAUUCCAUAGUUAUCAGUUAAAUUACUUGAACCAUAGCAGCUAUCAUACUCUUUAGGUUACCGCUUGAUCUAGAUGUGAAUUGUAACUAAAUUAAUCAAACAUAACAAGUGUUUAGUUAAGAGAAUUCUUACACAAGUGUCAAGAGUCAAGAUCCUAACCUUUCCAAGAAGAAUUUCAUUAGUAUAUGGUCCAUAUUUAUCAGCAGUAUCAAAGAAAGUGAUUCCUUUAUUGAAAGCAUGCUUUAUUAUAGAGAUGCCAUCCUCUUCAGAGACUGGAGAAUUGUAACCUCCACUCAGGC